rnacentral:rRNA from 1 species
GAAAGGUUUCGGCCGGACAGAGAUGGGCAUGCGGCGCAUUAGGCAGUUGGCGGGGUAACGGCCCACCAAACCGACGAUGCGUAGGGGUUCUGAGAGGAAGGUCCCCCACACUGGUACUGAGACACGGACCAGACUCCUACGGGAGGCAGCAGUGAGGAAUAUUGGUCAAUGGCCGGAAGGCUGAACCAGCCAAGCCGCGUGAAGGACGAAGGUGCUAAGCAUUGUAAACUUCUUUUGUCAAGGGACAAAAUCAGGCUCGAGAGCCUGACCGAGGGUACUUGAAGAAAAAGCAUCGGCUAACUCCGUGCCAGCAGCCGCGGUAAUACGGAGGAUGCGAGCGUUAUCCGGAUUUAUUGGGUUUAAAGGGUGCGUAGGCGGGCUGUUAAGUCAGCGGUAAAAGCCCGGGGCUCAACCCCGGCGAGCCGUUGAAACUGGCGGUCUUGAGAGGCCGAGAGGUAUGCGGAAUGCGCAGUGUAGCGGUGAAAUGCUUAGAUAUUGCGCAGAACUCCGAUUGCGAAGGCAGCAUACCGGCGGCGAUCUGACGCUGAGGCACGAAAGCGUGGGUAUCGAACAGGAUUAGAUACCCUGGUAGUCCACGCAG